GCGUUCGUAGCUCAGUUGGUUAGAGCACCACCUUGACAUGGUGGGGGUCGUUGGUCACCAAUCAUUUU
rnacentral:tRNA from 1 species